GUUUCAAAAGCAAAGUAUUCAUGUUUUUCCUUCUGUUUUCUCAGUUAGUCCAAGUGGCAGCCAGGAAGAAGCUGGCCAAGACAGAGCAUCAGAAUCAGACCAAGAGCUGCCAUCCCUGCUUGAUGAGCCUGUGGCUUCUGAGAUGCCUGCUGGAUACAUUAAAGAUCUUCAAGCAGUGGAGAUGAGGAUAAUGGUGGAACUGGAGAUGAUCCGUACAGAGUUCAGGACUGCUCUGAACCAAGUUAUGGAGGCC